UGGGGAAUAUUGGACAAUGGGCGCAAGCCUGAUCCAGCCAUGCCGCGUGAGUGAUGAAGGCCCUAGGGUUGUAAAGCUCUUUCACCGGUGAAGAUAAUGACGGUAACCGGAGAAGAAGCCCCGGCUAACUUCGUGCCAGCAGCCGCGGUAAUACGAAGGGGGCUAGCGUUGUUCGGAUUUACUGGGCGUAAAGCGCACGUAGGCGGACUAUUAAGUCAGGGGUGAAAUCCCGGGGCUCAACCCCGGAACUGCCUUUGAUACUGGUAGUCUGGAGUUGGAGAGAGGUGAGUGGAAUUCCGAGCGUAGAGGUGAAGUUCGUAGAUAUUCGGAGGAACACCAGUGGCGAAGGCGGCUCACUGGCUCGAUACUGACGCUGAGGUGCGAAAGCGUGGGGAGCAAACAGG
rnacentral:rRNA from 1 species